rnacentral:rRNA from 1 species
GACGAGCGCUGGCGGCGUGCUUAACACAUGCAAGUCGAACGGAAAGGCCUGCUUUCCCUUGUGGAUUGCGGGUACUCGAGUGGCGAACGGGUGAGUAACACGUGAGUGAUCUGCCCCCAACUUGGGUAUAAGCCCGGGAAACUGGGUCUAAUUCCCGAUAGGACUGCAGGGUGGUGCCUGUGGUGGAAAACGAUUUUCUAGUGGUUGGGGAUGAGCUCGCGGCCUAUCAGCUUGUUGGUGGGGUAAUGGCCUACCAAGGCGGCGAUGGGUAGCCGGCCUGGGAGGGUGGACGGCCACAUUGGGACUGAGAUACGGGCAAGACUCCUACGGGAGGCAGCAGUGGGGAAUAUUGAACGAUGGGCGGAAGCCUGAUGCAGCGACGCCGCGUGGGGGAUGACGGCCUUCGGGUUGUAAACUCCUUUCGACCGCGAGGAAGCCACCUGGUUGGAAGGGUGGUGACGGUAGUGGUAGAAGAAGCACCGGCUAACUACGUG